GGAGUAAUAGAUUUUUUAUGAGCAUGAAAACGCAAUAACACAGGCCAAAAAUUUUUUUGCUUAGGUUAAAGCAAUAAAUAGUCCAAAGAUGGAUUGGUAGAAAUAUCGUUUUCCUAAGCAAAAAUUCUUGUGUGCAAAGAGCACUGCUUCAUGUUGGGAUCCAUGAGGAUCCAUUAUCCAGUUGAUGCACUCCUAUCUUCUAUCUCCUCUUACAAAUAUUUUAAAUUUUUCUCUAGCAACGGACAGUUUUUACUACAGAUGUUCUACGAAGCAAGGCUCAUUUUUCGUAAACUUAGACGGGUUUGAUUCACUGAAGACAAAUCCCCACUCAGCUAACUCUACGAAAAUUAGCAAGAGAAAGAGGCAAUAACAUGGUUUACAGAAUUAACAUUAUUAAUCGCAACUAAAAUACACACAAUUGUUUUAAUGUAUUGAUCGGGAGUAUUAAAUUCUACUAAUGUGAUUCUAUGUGGACAUGCUUCAAAACCAUCAAAGCACAGCAUACCAUCGUCUGCUAUACCUAGUUAUCUUGGUUCAACCUCCUUUGUUGCACUUGGAAACUGCUGCUUGAGGGCAACCUUAAUACACUGAAUAGGGUUGUUCGCUCAAACCAGCAAAAGUCUUUUCAUGCACGUAGACUGACAUUGUUGAACUCAUAUGAAACCCUAACGGUCAGGCAUGCACGAUGGUACAGAAAGCCCCGCUAGAAUUGUUGUCAUAGAAUGAUACAACCUCAGUCUAAGUUUGAAAGUUUAAAACUUUCUUACUACUCCCCCACAUAGGAGGAAUUCUCCCACUUGAAAAUCUGGGGACUAAGUCUUAUGACUUAUAAGUAGAUGGGUAUCCCACUCAGGACCGCGGCUCCCACUUUGUCAAUAGCUAGGUGAGGGUGAUAGAAAUAACAUCUAGGUAAAUAGUAGUUAUAAUGGUAUUAGCUUAAGACACACACUCUCUGAUACACAGUGUUUCAUAGCCAGCAUCCGUGAUCCCAAACAUUCCUAGUUCAACUUUCCAUUCUAUUUCGGAUCACAGUAUCCGUUUUUGGAAAAGCUCAUCAUAUAAAUACAGCGACUUGUUAAUUACAAGUUUCAUAGCCAAACAUGAACAAUCAAUCAAUCCCGCAUGAAGUUUGAACAACGAUUUAUUCUUCAUACGGCAGUAUGAAAUUUUUUGCUUAUAAAAUGCUUUCAAUCAACGUUUUACAGUAGUUUGUAAUCCAUAAUACUUAGCAUUCCCUAAAGGUAGAAAAUACGCAGAGUUUUUUUAAAUUACUAGUGAGUUG